AGAAAAUGGGCCCCGGCUCCCGCAGGAGGCCCGCCUGGCGCGCAGAGGUCGUUAUUAGAAUCCGGGACGUCGGUGGACCCUCUGGGUCUGGCUCCCUCGGUGCUUACGAUGUAAAAAACUGGGGGGCGUGUGUGGGUGUCAUGAGACUUCCAUUUCUGAAGGGGUCCUGUUCCAUAUCCUCUAAGAAGGGAGUGCUGCACAGAGAGGCCAUGAGGAAUCUAAGCAGACAGGCCUUGCUGGGUUUCCCCACUCAGUCUGUUAAUAUUAGAUCAUACCUUUUUGUCCAGUCACAUUUUUACAUGGUUGUCAAUUAUGCCUGUCCAGUAAAGUCUCCAUAAAAGGCCAAAGAAGACAGAGUUGGAGUUCUUGGAUAGCUGAACAUGUGGAGGUUCCUGGAGGGUGGGGCACCUGGGCAUAAAAGCUCUGAGCCCCUUCCCUCAUACCUUGCUCUGUGCAUCCCUCCAUCUGUAGCCCUUGUAACAUUCCUUAUAAUAAACUGGUAAAUGUGUUUCCCAGA
rnacentral:antisense_RNA from 1 species